rnacentral:rRNA from 1 species
GAUGAACGCUGGCUGUGUGCCUAAUACAUGCAUGUCAAGCGAAGCACUUUUGUGCUUAGCGGCGAAUGGGUGAGUAACACGUACUUAACCUACCCUCAAGAUUGGGACAACACUUGGAAACGAGUGCUAAUACCAAAUACGUAUUUUUAUCGCAUGAUAGAUAUAUAAAAGGAGCUUCGGCUUCACUAGAGGAUGGGAGUGCGCUACAUUAGUUAGUUGGUAGGGUAAUGGCCUACCAAGACUAUGAUGUAUAGCGGGGCCGAGAGGCUGAUCCGCCACACUGGGACUGAGAUACGGCCCAGACUCCUACGGGAGGCAGCAGUAGGGAAUUUUCCACAAUGAACGAAAGUUUGAUGGAGCGACACAGCGUGCAGGAUGAAGGUCUUCGGAUUGUAAACUGCUGUUAUAAGAGAAGAAAAACCCUGGUAGGUAAUGACCAGGACUUGACGGUACCUUAUCAGAAAGCGACGGCUAACUAUGUGCCAGCAGCCGCGGUAAUACAUAGGUCGCAAGCGUUAUCCGGAAUUAUUGGGCGUAAAGAGUUCGUAGGUGGUUUUGUAAGUCUGAAGUUAAAUACCGGGGCUCAACCCCGGCCCGCUUUGGAUACUGCAAAACUAGAGUAAUAGAGAGGUUAGUGGAACUCCAAGUGAAGCGGUGGAAUGCGUAGAUAUUUGGAAGAACACCAAUGGCGAAGGCAACUAACUGGAUAUUAACUGACACUGAGGAACGAAAGCGUGGGUAGCAAACAGG